UGCUGGUGUUAUCUGAGAACCAAACCCCUUGCUCCUGGAGGUCGCUUGGCCUCAACUGGGCAGUUCUGAACCAUCUGGUGGAGUUUAGGUCACUCAUGUGGCUGCUCUCAGCUGGGACCUACCUAUAGCUGCACCACCCAAGAUGGCCACUUACCCUGCAGAGCUUCUACCUACCUGGCCUCUAACCAUUCAGUCAUCUGGCUUUGGCUUCCUUAUGCCAUGGGCUCCAAGAAGAGAGAAGUGGAACUGGCCAUUCCCUCUAAAGCUUGGACCUCACUUCUGCUGCACACCGCUGGUCAAAGCAAGUCACAGGCCUCAUGAGUGAUUCAAGGGGAGGGGAACUAGGCUGCACCUGUGUCUAGGGACAAGGGAGAGAGGUUGAGGGCCAUUGGACAGUAUCUCCCACAGCACGUGGCAGUCAUUUAUGCAGGGAGCUCCUGAAGGACAAGGGUUCAACUAUAUAUCCACUGUCCCCAGCCCGAACUGUCAGAGAUUUCAGGAUGCAGUGUGAGCUCCGGCCCAAUAUUCCUCAUACUGGAAUGUUGGGCUGGGAGAGGCUAGAGAGGUGGUGGAGUUAAGCCCAGGCUGUCAGCUGCCUCUGUUGGGACUCUUGAAUUUCAAGAUAGUGCAUCCAUACGCUGCCUGGGAGUCUUUUUCUGGGCAUAGCUUAUGCCCCCUGGGGCAUGAUGGGCAUAUUUCAUUCAGCCACAUGGUUACACAGAGCCCUGGAUCCAAACACAGACUUAAUAAUUAAAGCUUGUCUCUUCUC